UAGUUCGUUUUCCUAGUUUGGCAACUGGGUGGUGCCGCAGCCUCCGCCCCCUCUGGGAAGCCCCCACCUUGGUAACAAGCUGCUGAUUGGCUGGCCGUGGGGCACAGCGGACCAGUCAAAGCUCUCCUUGAUGUCGAGUGUCCAGGAAGCUUCCUCCUGCAUUAGGAGGUCUAUACAUGCUGUUAUCUCUGCUGGACUCUCCUCCCAUCUCUUCAUCUAGGCCCAACUUGGCUUUGCAGUACUUGACUGCCCUCAGUUCUACAUAGUUGCCACUAGAGGGCAGGCGCGGUUAAGACAACAAUACUCUGGACCCACCAGCGCCAUGAUUACUGGAUCAGCCACCUCUGUCUCUGGCCUGCUGGGUCAGGAACUUGAAGGAUAAAAACCAAGAACUCAGCUAAAACUCCAGCAAGGACAGCCAGAGUCACCACUGAGAAGCUGCUGAAGCCCCUAGAGGCUGCCUUCAACACGGUGUGUGAGAGCGUCAGGAAGGUGGCUCAUGUCAAAGGGGCUUUGGGUGAGGUUACCUGUCGGGUCUCCGUAGGCUGUAACACUUAGGCAGACCCAGAGCUGGGCUUGCUUUUGCCUCAACCAGAGGCAUUCCUCUGCUUGCCACAGUGGUCAGGAGCUGUGUGUCAGCUUGGAGCAGGGCAGGAGGAAUGGGAGGAAGGCUUUCCUAACUCUCUUCCUAGAGGUGACCUUCGAGGGCAUUGUGGAUGGAGAGAUUAUGGGUAUGAAUGUGAAGGUUGCAAGGAAGACAGUAUGGAGAGCUUAGAUAGAUGAAGAAAUUGUUUUUUAAAUUAGCACUAGCAAUUCUUUUCAGUCUCUGUCAAGACUGACAGAGAGGAGAUGGGCUGAGGCUGCAGCCAGUUAACUUGUACUGCAAAUGUAAGAUAGAAAACCCAGCCCCAAAGAAUAAUGAGAAAAGGAAAUACCCUUCUUUGGAGAGCACUCGGUGCGGGGUGGGGGUGGAGACCUGGAAUGCUUUUGGAUGUUUCCUUUCUGGUCCCAGGGAAUAGAUCAAGUGGCCUCCAGGUGGACAGGUUGGGGGCAGAGCCAAGGCCAGGGGCCAGGUCUAUGGUGUCUGUGUGGAACAGGUGAAGUGAGUUGGGCUGGGGAGAAGUAAAGUGGCCCAGCUUAAAUAUCACCUCCAACCCUGUCGGCAGACUGCACUUAGAGGUUCCACCAUAGAUUCUCUACACCAUCCUGGGGCCUUCAGACUGCCUGCUAAAGUCCUGGAUCCCAACUGUUGAGCACUGAGGGGCUGCUCAGCACAUAGCAUGUGUAGAUUCUAUCCACAGGUUGAGCACCGUGAGCCCCCUGUUUAUCUUCCCUAAGCUCAUGAAUAGGACAGGGGCUUCUGCUUGGAGACUCCGGAGGACACUUUCCAUCCCGGAUUAAAUUCUGACAAAAGUCUUUCCAAAUUCCUCCUGGUACACCCGCCCUGCCCCCUGGAUCUCAGAGCUGCUGAAUAACAUUCUGAGCUGUGUUUCCUGCUCUUGCCAGGCUGGAAAAACUGAGGGAGAUGCUAAUGGAAGAAGGAAGGGGGAGGGAGAGGGCCGGGCCUAAUUCCACUGCACACCCUUCAGCUCCUGUCCUUUUAGCUCCCCUCUCAGAGGGUUGUUUCAAUAUCCCACCUUCACCACCCACCCCUGCUCUGGGUCCCUGACCAGCUGUGCAGGGAGACCUCCUUCACAUUGGCCCAGGCGAGGGCCUGAGCCUGGAGAACUGUCUUUCCUGCUGUUGGUCUGAAUCAGAGAGAUACUCCUUCCAUUCUCAGCUAGAGAAGCCUGACUUUCAGUCCUUUGCUGUUGAUGGUAGAGGCUAUGCUACAAGAUCUGGGUGACCUAAAGAGAUUGCCUUUCCUUCUCUGUGUCUCAGUUUCCCCAUCUUUGCGAUGAAAAAAAUAAAACAGAACAAAACUGUACCUGGCAAUUUCAAAGUGGCAAUAGAAGAAAAGCUUAUAAUAUAGUUACUGUGUAUUGCUUUUUCAAUGAUGUGCCAGGCGAACCAAGCACUUUACAUGUAUUCAUCCACUAAUUAAGUAAAAUAAGGAGUUGGUGUUAUUUUGCCAAAAGAAGACUAAAAGGGAGAUAUCCAGACAAAGGGGCUUUGGCUUAAAUUGCACAAGAAGGGAUUUGGGGUAGGCACUGGACAUUUUUAGGUUUGACUUAAGGGAGAAAUUUCUUGCAAGACCUUGAGACACUCGACUAAAGUGAUUUUAUCUUGAGCAGAGCUUUUGGAAGGGGUGAACCACCUUGUAUUUGAGCGGCAGAUGUGGUUCUGCAAGAAGACAGGGUGACAAGAUGCUGCAAUGGAGACUUCCCCACCCCAAGUUUCACUGAUUGUACAGUCAGGCAAUAACUAACGGCUUCUCUCCCAUGACAGCUGCUCUUUGCUGUCACAUUUUCAGGGUCAAACUCUGAUAAAGCACUGUAUACAAUAUGACGUUUCUGUUGUGACGAUCCUCCUGUAUUUAGAAUGGGUGGCAGAUAAGUAGUGGUGACUUCUGGGUGGGAUGAUGAACAGCUACAAGCAAAUGUCAAACCCUUUGCAGCAUGCAACAUCUUGGAGACCAGAGAACCCUGCCUUGGGAAUAGGAAGACCCGCACCCCCACCCCCCCACCCCCCCACCCCCCAAAGAAAGAGAGACUUUAAAUACAAAACAGUUUGCCCUAUACAUGAUGGUGUCUUGCACUUCCAACUAGAGAACCAGGGACCUCUUCACCUUGCCCACCUCACAGUCAACCUCUGGGACUGGUGCCUCUCUCACUCAGAGGGCUGUCUAGCUCGUUAACAUCUUGCCAAACGACUGAUCUGUUCCCUGAGCACAGGGAGAGAAAGUAUUGAUGGGAGAGGUUGUAGACUCAGUCCCUAUCCAUGCUUUGAUGGUGCUGUUUGCUCUCAGCAGGCUCUACUUCAGAGCCCUUUGCCAAUGGUCAUUAAUGAGUCCUUCAUUCCCCAGGGAGAGGGGUACUUUGCUGCAGAGGAAGAGAGGUUAAAAUCUGGCUCUGUACCUUCCAGCUGGAUUAAGAUAUCAGAGGCCCUGGGGUAAUGUAAGCACAUUGUGAACACAAGAUCCUGAGAGGGAGCUGAAAAUCAACUAGAUAAUCCAAUCUGAAAUGAAGAUUUUAGUUCUUGGACACAGAGAGGCAGCACUUUAGGCCUUUUCUGGGAAGAGCUUGGAAAACAAGAAGCCCUUGUCCUUGUCCACCACCCCAGGGUUUGGCGGUGGUCAGGCUCAUGUUACCCUAGGGGGCCUCUGCCCUGCCACCAGGGGCUCCUUGUACUCCAGGGAGAACCAGCCAGAGCAAGUGCCGCAUUCAGCUCUGAGAGGCUACAAAUUCUUGUCCACCAGUUGUUAUGUUUAAAAAGCAAAUAAACAUCCAGACACAAGACCAGGCUGUCGAGGCAUGAGUAGAUCAGGUGGAAACAGAGAGCUCAUCCUCUUCCGGGUCAGUGAGAAAGUGCAGAUACCACGGUUUCUUAACAGCACACUUUCCUCCUGAGACGGACCGUAGAAGUUCAACUUAAACCCCCCUGUCUAUGAACUGCCACCUCCCCAACCUCUCCCAACGCCUCUCUCACUGCUUAACACAUGACACAGGAAUUUCCUGGCUGCCCCCUCCAGGUGGCCUGUUAAAUGACUGGUCCCUUUGUUUGUGGCAAUUGCAUUUCUCAGAAGGGCCCAGUCCUGUGUUCCUCCAGCCCAUGCCCGCUUAUCUCUCAAGACCUAGAUUGAGACUUACCUCUUCUGGGAAGUCUUCUUCCGUACCAACCCACUCUCCCACUGACUUUUCCUAGCACUGCUGUGUAGUAUAAGAGUAUGCCACUAUGUACCAUUUUGUACAGGGAUAUGGCAGGGUUUUCAGCUUACUUCAUUGGUACUCUUUGGUUCCCCUAUUUCUAUUUCUUCUGUAUUGCCCCCAGCACUCAGAAUUGGGUCUUUCCAAUGCAGCAGACAGCCCUCCCCACUCCCCUUUGCCAA